AUCACUUUUCUGUGUACAGCCAGUGUAUUUAAAACAAUCAUUUUCAUGACCAUAUGGUAGGCGAACAAUAAAGUUUUGCCAUAAACAGGCAACUGUAACCAUAUUUGUUUGGGGAGAGCAACACAGUCCAGCAAAAACAAAAGAAAAUGAGACCUAUAUUCACUUACAGUGGUCACGACUGUGUAUUUUGUGAUGUAUUACCUCUCACCAGGUAAAAAUAACAUAAUGCUUCACCGGAUGUCCAUCAAUUUCUUCGUGUGAAACACAAUAGCAACGAAAUUGUGCAUGCUAUCAAUCCUGAAAUCUUUCAGCUUAUCUCUCAUUAUCGUAUUUAAUGCUGUAGGCAUAUUGAGAGAGCAGUAAGUGAAUAAAACAGAACGGCUCCAGCCACAAUGUUUGAAGUCAAAGAACAGGUUGUAUACGGCCCGGAGCAUGACUAAAGUUUCACACGGAAUUUGCAGUCUCCCCUCCACAACGGCCACAGGCUGGUCACGUGAUUCCACCUCCACAUGGACAGGAGGCGGGGCGUGACUGCCAGCGCUCCUGGUUUUACUUGAGUGUACUAUGUUGCCUUUCCCGCCAGAAAACAAACAGUGCUUCUUGCCUGCUUCGUGUGUGCAUAUCUGCUUUGUUCGAACUUGUGCUUUUCGCCUGCUUUGAAUGUGCGCGUCCGCUUUGUUCGAAGUUGAAAAGAAAAUGAUAUCUUUUGAUGACAGCAUUGGGGAUGAGGACAAGAGAGAAGUGGCUGUAAGUAUUUAGAAGUAGUUGUACUAUCGUUAUCUUACGAAUUUUGUGUUUGGCAUCGUAGAAAUAAACCAAUGAAUUUUCCCUCAACAGAAUAUUCUUCCACAAUGGAAAACGCAUGUGCUGCAAAUUCAGAGAAGUGCCAAUCUGAAACACAGUCAACGAAACACCUCAUUUUGAGGCAGUUGAUGUUCUGCCAUCAUAACACAGUUUCGAAAAGAGUUAAUGAUACUGCAGUGCAUCCUGCCACGAAAAACACCAACUGUCCAUCGAAAAUGAUGAUAAAAAUUCAUGUUGUGCACGAAAGGACCCCUCCUGAAAACACUUGAGAAGGAUUAUGGACCCAUGGAUUCUAAUGAAGGGAAGGAAUUCCUGCUGCAACAGAGAUUGCUGAAAUACAAUACAGAAGUUAGGAAUGUGUGUUGCAAGAUGGUUAUGAAAGAUGCCGAUUAUAUAAUAUGCAUUUGCUCACAAUUGAUGAAGAAAGUACAUAUGUGUGAAGAAAUGGCACCAGAAAUGGUCUUCAUUGAUUCAACAGGAUCUUUAGACCACAAUGGCAGUAGAGUUUUUGUGUUACUCACACCCAGUGCAUGUGGAGGUUUACCGCUGGGAAUUAUAGUAACUUCAUCAGAAAGCUGUGAAGUUUUGCAAAUAGGCUUCCAGCUAUUGAAAGAGAUAGUAGGAAAAGAUAUUUUUGGGGGGAACAUUGAUGGACCACAUGUCUUUUUGAUUGACGACUGCAAAUCGGAACAAAAUGCCAUUAUAAGAUCUUUUCCCCGUUCAACAAUCAUAUUGUGCAUUUUCCAUGUGAUGCAGGCAGUGUGGCGGUGGCUUAUAAAAACCAAACAUGGAAUACCGCAGGACAAGAAAAUGCAAUACUUUAAAGACUUUAAAAAAAUCAUGUAUUCAAAAACCAAAGAUGAAGCUACAGUUAAUUAUAACGCAGCUAAAGCAAAUAUAUGUGACGAACACAACAGUUAUCAAACAUACUUAGAUGGGUAUUGGGAAAGACGACACCUAUGGGCACUUCCUUAUCAAACCCGUAUGUUGAUACAGGGGCACCACACUAAUAACUUCAGUGAAGCGUUCAUGAGGAUUUUGAAAGACUAAAUUUUUUAGAGAAGAAAAGCGGUCAAUGUAGUGCACAUGGUCGACAUCAUACUCACAAGGGUGAAUUCUUAUUUUGAGAUGAAGCUGCUUGAUGCUGCUAACAGAGCAACCCUGAAAUCUUUCCACGAGACCAUUAGAGUACCUACACCGGAAAUUCUGAGUAAGAUAAUUAUGAUUCAGGAAGGCUUUCUGUUGGUUCCAAGUGAGAGUACAGAGAAUCGCUUCUAUGUUGUCAACAUGGCUGUGCUUGUUUGUAAUUGUCUUGAGGGCAAUACGGGCAAGAGAUGUAAACACAUUGAUUGGGCUAAUAUUGUUUACCCAUCAGAAAAGUAUGAAAAAGCUAUAAACAGUGAAGAAAUUCGUCGAAAGUAUUAUUUUAUAGCGACGGGUAAGCAGUCCCCCAAAAUUGGCUGAAGCCUCUUCAUGAACCCCAAAGUACUGCAACAUUAAAUGAUGCUGAUGUGGAGCACAUUGACACAGAGGAAGAGAGAAAUAAUGUACUCCAGUUCAGUAUAGAUAAUACAGAAGAUAGACAUGAUGCUGAUGUGGGGCAAAUGGAUGCACAAGAAGAAAAACGUGAUGUUGAAGAAGAAAUACCAGACGCAACACAUCUCAAAAACAUUUCCCACAAAACAAAUACAAAUCUAUUAAACAGAGCAGUAGCUCAUCUCACAGAGCUAUCCAGUAGGUCACUGGAAGAGAUGACGAAGUUGAAAAGAAGAAAACGCCAUCUGCCUACGUGAAGGCAAAGCGAGACAUAAUAUGAGAAAACGCAUUCCGAUUCAAUCAACAUCAAUUGGAAGAAGAAAGAAGGCAGUGAAAAGAAAAAAUGCACACACCCAGAAAUUUUGAAUAUCCUAUCAAAGUGUGUUACUCCAUACAAAAGCCUUGCAUUUCCUAUUUAAUGGUUUAAUGGUUGUAUCCUGUUUUGUCUAACACAUACAAAAAUGAUUAUUAAAAAUAUUUUCUACUUUUUUCAACAAAAUUUUCAUUGUGUUUGAUGGAAAUACAGUCUCCCUGUCCUCUUGG
rnacentral:misc_RNA from 1 species